CCACUUCAGCAGUGGCAGUAUCGUAGCCAAUGAGGUUAAUCCGAGGCGCGAUUAUUGCUAAUUGAAAACUUUACCUCAAAGAAAGCAAAUCCACAGAGAGAAACUGCAUUAAACUACCUUACACUAGACUUUCUAAAAUAGCCUCUCCGUGUGCUCACACUUGUUAGUCACUAAAGUGG
ensembl:snRNA U4 U4 spliceosomal RNA